UGCGGGUAGUUCAAAACAAUAUGUGUUUUUAUUGCAUAGAGCCUUGCAAUUGUUUCACAAAAAUCGUACGACAAUCUUCGAUUUUACGUCUGUCGUACGUCAAAUCGUGGAUAUUACAUUCUCUAUAAGAUUGUAAAUUCGCUCGAAGUCAGUCAGGUUUAGCAUAUGCAUGAUAAUGUAUUUACAUUUUUAUGGACUUGUUAUUAGUUAUAAGAUUUUGUUACACGUUAUAACCAUGGAAAAAAGAAAAAAAAAAUCAUAAACGCCCG
rnacentral:lncRNA from 1 species